rnacentral:tRNA from 1 species
UCCCUGGUGGCUCAAUGGUAAAGAGUCUGCCUGCAAUGCAGAAGACCCAGGUUCGAUUCCUGGGUUGGGAA